GACGAACCGUGCAAACGUUGUUCGGAAUCACUGGGCUUAAAGGGCGCGUAGGCGGGCCAGCCAGUCUGUGGUGAAAGCCCCCGGCUUAACCGGGGAAGUGCCGUGGAUACUGCUGGCCUCGAGGAGGGUAGGGGCACCUGGAACGGUCGGUGGAGCGGUGAAAUGCGUUGAUAUCGACCGGAACUCCGGGUGGCGAAGGCGAAGGUGCUGGGCCCUUUCGUGACGCUGAUGCGCGAAAAGCCCAGGGGGAGCAAACGGGGAU
rnacentral:rRNA from 1 species